UGCCAGCAGCCGCGGUAAUAUUUAAGGUGCAAUCGUGAAUCGGAAUCACUGGGCGUAAAGCGCUCGUAGGUGGCUUUGUAAGUCAGAUGUGAAAGCCCACGGCUCAACCGUGGAAUUGCAUUUGAUACUGCAUCGCUAGAGUAUAGGAGAGGGAAGUGGAAUUUCUGGUGUAGGAGUGAAAUCCGUAGAGAUCAGAAGGAACACCGGUUGCGAAGGCGACUUCCUGGACUAUUACUGACACUGAGGGGCGGAAGCGGGGGGAACAAACAGGGUGAGAUA
rnacentral:rRNA from 1 species